rnacentral:lncRNA from 1 species
UGGAGAUCUGGAGCCCAGAGCGCAGAGCCAGCCGAAGGCGCCGCGCCGGCUCGGGCUCCGCCGCCGACACCCGGCUGCUGAGGUCGCCGCGAGGGUUCGGGGACGCCUGCUCACUGCGUGGCUUCUCCCGGCCAGCUGUGCAGGCGGCUGGACCAGCAGCAGCGGCGAGGACUCGAGCGCGGGCUGCAGCAGCGACACCAUGGACCUGUCCUUUAUGGCCGCACAGCUGCCCAUGAUGGGAGGCGCCUUCAUGGACUCCCCCAACGAGGACUUCAGCACUGAGUACUCCCUCUUCAACUCCUCCAACAACGUCCACGCCGCCUCCAACGGCCAGGGCCAGCCGGAGGAGCCCCCGAGGUCCUCCAACGACGCCGUCCUGCUCUGGAUCGCCAUCAUAGCGACGCUGGGGAACAUCGUGGUGGUGGGGGUGGUGUAUGCCUUCACCUUCUGAGCCGCGGGAGCUCCGGGACGGCUCACCCCGCCUCGGGCUCACAGCCGGGCGCGGUCACCUUGGCCCCUGGCCGCACCCACGUUCUAGAACCAGGCGUUCUGACCCAGGCACACCACCCCUCCAAGGGGAGCCGCCAGGCGUCUGGAUGUUCCCCCAGCAGCCCUGAUCUCAGAUCCUCCACGCUGUGGUCCAGCUGAUCCAGACGAUAAGGGGGCACGGGUUUCCAGCUCCUGGAGACAUGAGGGGGCCAAGCCUUGGAGGAGCAGAGUGGGGAGUUCUUGAAAGUGCAUUCCAAGGACAUGCGGCUGGAGGGAACGGCCAGUUUGGUUUGAUGACACGGAUAUGGUUGGAUGAUCAGUUGCUGGAAGACAGCGGUCACCGCUGUGUCUUGUUUUGAUGCAGACUUCUCACACCUGAGCGUGAGGGCGCGUGCAGCCCUCCAAACUGGAGUGUGCUUGCCCCCGUCUGGUGUCCUGAUCAGCCCCUCGGAAUAUUGGCGGCAGUCCCUUGAACGGACCUAGAACAUUCUUCACUUGACUUAGAAAUGGCAACGUUAUUAUCAGACACCUGACCCUUUGUGAAACCCAAGGAUGAGGGGUUACUGGUGACGUGGAUUUUGGGGGUGGUGGUAGCAGUGGUUUUUAUCUGUGGGGUGGACACUCUUCUUUUGAAAGAGAGCAGAAGGUUACCUUGAAAAAUUAGAUCUGCCAAGCUGAUAACUCUCUGGCCACCUGCCGAAGAUGCUCUUUCUUCUCUGAGAAAUCACAGAGCUUUAGAGAUGAAGGAGGCGUGUGUGCACCUCGUUGUUUGGCAGGGAGAGGAGGAGGGGCAGGGCUGCCUGUGGCCCCAGGCACAUUAAGGCAGGGAUCAGAGUGGGAGGGAUAUUUUCUGCCUGUCCUCUCUCAGGGCUGCCUGUGCCCCAGCUAAGCGCUGUCUGGAUCAGAUUCCUGGCUCUCAGCUGCCUUGAGGAGCCUAUCCAGAGGGUCCUGAAGCUGUGAGUAGGGUGGGCGGGGCGCUAAGACACCCUCAUGCUAGACUCAGUUUGGCUACUGUAUGUUCUUGCAGGGGUGAGUGUCUUCUGCCCGAGUCGGUUUCCUGACUCGCUUGGAAGUCAGUGGCUGGGGGACUGCAAAUCUGGGAGCCGCCUCACUCUUGAGACCAGAGCAGGUUGGGAUGUGCCAGGGCCGGGGUGGGGGCAGAGGAGGGGGAGUGGGCAGGAUCAGAACAGGCUCACUUCUCAUCCAUCCUCAGGCAAGUUCAGGGCCCAGAGCCCCGCUUCUCGAGACAGCCCUCCCUGUGCCCCCAAGGGCGCCAGGAGCUCAGACAUGGGCUCGCUUGCCCACAGGCCAGGAGCGGGUUUUUCCCUGGCUUCCUCCCUGCACUGCACAAAAGAAAAGAGUUGGCAAAGUUCCCGCGGUGGUUCACUAGGUUAAGAACCCAACUAGUAUCCCUGAGGAUGUGGUUUUAAUCCCUGGCCUCGCUCAGUGGGUUAAGCAUUCAGCUUUGCUUCAGGCCGUGGUGUAGGUCACAGAUGUGGCUCAGAUCUGGCGUUGCUGUGACUGUGGCCCAGGCCGGCAGCCGCAGCUCCAAUUCCACCCCACCCCAGCCUGGAAACUUCCAUAAGCCUCGGGUGUCACCGUAAAAAGAAAAAAGAAAAAAGAAAUAAAAUAGAUGGCACGAACUCCCCCUCUGUAGCUGACAAAGUUAAAAGACUGGUAAAGAAAGCCUAAUGCAUAUUCGGGGACAGUGGCCAAAAGGCUGAAUUUCUCCCUGUGGCCUCAGGAGAAAUGAGUGUCCUUGUUGACAGGCAAAGGGACAUCUGAAUUGUCCAGAGGCAGCGACUCGUCCCUGGAAGCCUGGUGCUGAGCUGCUGUGAUAACAGGAUUAUCAGCCCGACCUCCAGACAGCACUGGCAAAGGCUGCCAGCUCCUCUGGGCCACAUCUGUCACUGCCGCCUGUGUCCCUCCGCACACGCCUCAGCCCCAGGGGAAGUCACAAGCAUGGAAAGCUAGCGUGACCUCUGCGGAGCGCAAGGAGGGGUGUGGCCCCUCUUCCUGGACUCCUUCUGGAAUCACUAAUGGGCCCUGCUGUCUGCAGGCGGGACAGGGUGGUGGCCGUGGCAAGCAUGGUCAGGUGUUUUAGGGACCUUCUUGUCCAAACGUGCCCUCACGGGGAUCUCAGUGACCUGCUCAAGGUCCCUCCAGCCCCAGCUCCAGUGGUUUCUUUAACUCGUUCCCCAGUCGCUCAAGGAACAGGAUCACAGGGCACGUUAGGUUUCCAGCGGGCGUGAGCCGCCCCCUCCCUCCUGCCCAAGUUGGGGUUCUGUCCUGGUUGUUCAGUGAAGGCCACGAGAGCGGACCUCCUCGCUGGAGUCUUGUGUCCAAGCCCUGUGCCAGGUUUACUCCUUCCAAGCUCAGAGCACCUUUGCUCCAAGACACAGGUCAAGAGCCAGAAACUCGGAGCAUCGGAAUAACUUGGCCGAGGCCACACAGCGCCAACGUGAUGCGCAGGUUGAACCUGAGCCUUACGGUUCUGAAGCCAGGCUCUUUCAGGAACACAUGCUGCCUUCAGUGGUUGGGUGGCAUUUCCAGGGCACACUGAAACCAGGCCCUGAGUCUACAGAGGCCGUUUCUCAAGGUCCCCUGUCCUGGUGUGGCCUGGGUCAGCUCUGGCUUCUGCAGGUGGAAGUCUCUGACAGCCUUUGGGGGGGAGGGGUGUUGCUCAUCCCCCUCCCUGCCCAGGCUUCAGGGGUGGGGGUUCUUGUGGCCUGCCCCCCCUAAAGUUGAACACAAGCCUCUUUGCAUGGCCAGAGAAGUUUCCAGAGACCAGAUUUCUCAGGACACAUGCAGAAGGGUCCUGGAGCCCCACAGAGGGGCCUCCACGAGGCAUGAGGUUCACGCAGCCAGAGUAGAUGACAGCCCUGGGAUGGCCUGUGUUGCAGGCUGGGCCCCAGCCCUGGCUUCUGGUCUUGCGCCGAGCCCCGGGUGCUCCCGAGCUGGCCGGGAUGAAUGCUCCUGUCUCAGACCCCAGCCUGGGGCACCCAUGUGGCUUCUCCUGGGUGGGGCUGGCCCCUGAGCCCACCUUGGCUUGAUGAGCUGGGGCUGUAGAAGCAGGGGCUUGCCUCUUUAGCAUCUGCUCCUCAGAGAAGGGGUCCUACAUUUGCUGGAACGUUCCCUGUGCUUGCUGCUCUGCACGCCCCUCCGUUGCCCCUCUGCAAACUGUGGUCCCGCACCUGUGUGUUCACUUGCUUUAUGAGGUUAGGAGCUGCGGUCCCAGGGGCCUUGGAGGAGUGGCCAGGCCAGACGACACUUCAGCUGGUGGUGUCCCAAGGGGAUUCUGCCUCCAGAGGCACCUCGAGAGACCAGCACUCUGCGGGGUCCUUCUCUUUGGUUCCUGCCCCUCCCCUUUUCCAAGGGAUCAAGGUCAGGAAGCAAAUGAGAUUCCCUGGUCCCCAUCUCCCUCCCACCCCCCACCCAGAGAAAGAUGCUUUUAUGUCCUUUCAGGCGUCCCCCAGGAGCCGAGGAAGAAAGGCAGGGAAGACAGGCUAGGACCACUUGGCUGGAGAAACAGCAGGCCAUUUUCCAGCUGGAUCUAAAUGAAAGAUUUGGCAGCCCGCCAGCCCACAGCAUCCGCCAGAAUCCCUCCCUGGGGACUGGCGAGACUCAGCCGCUAUCUGCAGUGCCGCCUGCGCCUUCCAGACGAAGGGUCCUCCCUCCUCCCUGAGCUUGACCUUCCCUCUGUUAUUAGCAGUGAUGUCACUAACAAUGAUUAUUCUUCUGCAGUUAUUAUCAUGCACCUUCUUCGUGCUGUGUGCCGUUCGUAUCUCAUUUAUUUCUCAAAUAACCCCUCGGGGGCAGGAGAGAGGUGCACAGCAGUUACGUUUUUUUUUUCUGUUGAGAAAGAGGAGGCCAGGCUAUAUGCCUGAGAACCUACGGCUGAGGAGCCGUGAUUCAGACCCGGCCCUGUUGGCUCUGCAGGUUGCACGGUUACCCUGCAUCUCCCUGCAUCCACACCCCCUGUGAUGAGCCCUCUGGGAUGGACCAGCCAGAGGCCUCUGAGGCUGGGCUGUUCUGGUCCUGGAGAGUGAAUUUCGAGGGUGAGUCCCAGAAAGGAUCUGGCUGCAGUUCCCAGGGAUUUAUCAGUCUGAGAACCUCGCAAUGGCAAGAGGUCUUAGAGGGCGUUUAAUCAGGACCUAAACUUUCAGGAGGGCAGCUGGGACCACGUGGUAAAUUAGUGGAGAGCGGACAGGUCUUCGGAUGCCUGGCCCAGCUUGCUGUGCAUUUGCUAGGGAACAGGGGUGUGGCCGUGGGGGUGGGGGGCUGGAUUUCCAGCCCCAGCCCUGGGACAGGCAUUGUGUUCUCUGCCAGAUGUCACCUGGCCCCCUUCACCAUGUCCUGGGAAAAUGCCCUAUGUCCCCAAGUCCUGGGUGGGCAGGGCUGCCGUGACCUGGAAGCCCUAGGAGGGGUGCUCCUGGCCAAACCCCAAAAGUCCAGGGUCCACCCGGCCCACCUCCUUUGCCCCAUCUGCUCCACGGGCCCCUGACCUCGGUCGUGUGGUGAUCAAGACAGGCGAGAGGCGGGGUGACUGAGCCCUGAGGGCCCACAGGGACAGAGUCUGUCACCUCCAAGCGGAAAAAGAGGCUACUCCAAGAAGUCCAAGUGAUCAGAAUUCAGUGGUGGCCUGGUGUCCUCAGCAAGUGACUUCUGAGAUUAGACUUUGAGCAUUUUCUUUCCCUUUUUUUGUGGGGGAGGGGGGAGCAGGGACACGGGCCAGGGACAAAGCAGUGCAAACCUUUGCGAAUAAAGGGAGGAAAGGCCCCCUGCCACCGCCCCUGAGAGAGAAAACAAAACGGCAGUUACAAUGGAGUGGUCAAAAGUACCCAAAAUUGGAGUUCCCGUUGUGGCUCAGCAGGUUAAAAACCCAAUGUAGAGUCCUUGAAGAGGCAGGUUCGAUCCCUGGCCUCGCUCAGUGGGUUAAGGAGCCAGCAUUGCUGAGAGUCCUGUGGGGUAGGUCGCAGGUGUGGCUCAGAUCUGGAGUGGCUGUGGCUGUGGCGUAGGCUGGCAGCUGCCCCUCCGAUUCAAACCACAGCCCAGGAACCCCCAUAUGCCACAGGUGCAGCUGUAAAAAGAAACAGGGAAAAAAUACCUACAAUUGACUACAUAAAUUUUGGAAUAUAAUUCUGCAUUGUUUGUACUGAGUCACGGUAAAAGUCAUACAUUUUUGGUAAAGAUAGAUCAUAAAAGCAGAGAAAGCCCUAGGGAGGCUGGAAGAGGCUACACCCUUCCAGGGGGCGGGGGGCGGGGGGGCAGUAGCCGGCUCCUGCCCUUUGAGCAUCGUGCAGGCUCGCACCUGCCCAGACCUCUCCAACCAAGCCUUUGACGAGGUCCAUUCUCCGCUCCUGGCUUCUUGUGCAACCUGUCUUGCUGCCUUCCGAGAGGAGGGUUGAGACUCGUGCUGGCUUGGGAAUAAAUCCUACCCGUCAGAGGAGGCACAUUUGCAAGGAAUUCAUGUCCCACUGCUGCCAGGGAACUCCAGAGCCCUCCUUCCACACCAAGCCCCCCCCCCCCCACGUUGCUGAGCAGCCCCCAGGGGCCCCCGUGUCUGUCUCCUCAGCCAUCUGACAAACUGGACAAGCACCAAAUGUACAGUCAUAGCAUUGUCCCAGCAAUCCAGAUAGUUCUGCCUGGGGCCCUGGAAACUGGCAGGAAGGGCCCUUCCAAAUGUUUAUACUUGAGGAGUUCCCAUCGUGGCUCAGUGGUAACAAACCCAACUAGUAUCCAUGAGGAUGCAGGUUCAAUCCCUGGCCUUGCUCAGCGGGUUAAGGAUCUGGCACUGCUAUGGCUGUGGUGUAGGUUGGCAGCUCAGCUCAGAUUCAACCCCUAGCCUGGGAAAUUCCGUAUGCUGCAGGUGUGGCCCUAAAACGAAAAAAAAAAAAAAAAAAAAAAAAUUAUGCUCGAGGAGUCUCUGAGAGGUUUGAGGUCAGACUGGUCAGCAGGAGACCUUGGUCUUGAGCCCAGGACAUCGGUCCCUGAACCAUUUCUAUUUCUUAGGAUCGUGCUUUGCAACAGGGUGGGGGGGCAGUUUUAUCUCCCAAGGGACCUUUGGCCUUGUCUGGAGACAGUUCUGGUUUUCAUGAACUGGGAGGGACGCGUUCUGCUGGCAUCCAGUGGGUAGAAGCCAGAGAGGCUACUGAACAGCCCCCAGGACAAGGAAUUAAUGGUUCCCCAAAUGCGCAUCAUCCCGAGGCUGGAAAACCCUGCCCUGAAUACUGCCAUCUCCGACUCCAAAACCUCGAGAAUCUUCCAAGUCCACUUGCGCAUGCGUGUGCGUCACUGAAUAAAUCAAAGCUCUUCUGAGCUACAGAGGUGAUCACGUUGCUGCCUCAAGUUCCGAUAACUCCAGCCAAGGGCAGCCAUCUGAAAUCUGGCACGUUUUUUUUUUUGAAAUCCACAUGACUCUCCAUCUCCACUCUCCUGGGCUUUCGCGGGGAAUCAGCCUGAAUAGAGAGCCCUGCAAAGUGGGUAUGCGGGUGGGGCUGGACUUGUCCCAGGUCCCCUCACCCAGGAACUGUGUGUCUCUGGGACCUUGGGGGACCUGGCCCCUUGCCAAUACAACCAAGAGGGAAAUUUUAGACGGGGUGGGGGAGGGGCGGGUUGACUGCCUAUGGGCAGACCUAAUGUCUUCUCAUGUUUUUGACUUUUUCCCACCCUGUUUGUCCCAGUUGAAAACAUAUUAACACUCUUUCUACCGUUUAAAGUUUCUACUAUUUCAAGUUUUAAACCUUAUUCUUGUAACUAGCCUUUGUCCGGACACCACUUCUUCCUGCCGAGAGACUCGGAAAUGUUUCUGUGUCUUACAAACGUUUUCAUAAUCAACUUGUAAAUGUAAGUCGUUUACUUAAUAAAAAGGUAUUUUAGCUAUUCUUGUAGCCCUUUGCUACUCAAGCCUCCAGGUUUCGCAAUGAAAUCACUAACUUUUACUACAGUGAAAAGGCUAUUUCUUAAGGUAGGGCCUCAAUGUGCCCUUUUGAUUAAAAGUCAUUAACCUAAAUGGGUGUAAAAACGUGGCCGUGGAAUCAUGUCCCUGCGAUGUGGGCACUGUGGCUGUUGUCAUCAUUUUCUAUUAUGAUAAUUAAAAAGAGAAAA